CACGUAGGGGGCGAGCGUUGUCCGGAUUUAUUGGGCGUAAAGAGCUCGUAGGCGGUUUGUCGCGUCGUUCGUGAAAACUCACAGCUUAACUGUGAGCUUGCGGUCGAUACGGGCAGGCUAGAGUUCGGUAGGGGAGACUGGAAUUCCUGGUGUAGCGGUGAAAUGCGCAGAUAUCAGGAGGAACACCAGUGGCGAAGGCGGGUCUCUGGGCCGAUACUGACGCUGAGGAGCGAAAGCGUGGGGAGCAAACAGG
rnacentral:rRNA from 1 species